CUACUGAGCAUGCCCGGCACGGCGACAGCUGCCAAACUAAAGGACUUUAAGCUGCGGUUAAGCACUGAUUUCCCUUCCUAGGGGCCUAGCGUGAAAUGGGAGGGAACUAGCCAGGAGAGAGGAGGUGUAGCCCAUUUUACAGAUGGGGACACUGAGGCCCGGCAGGAUUCACGUAUGGUAAACUACCCAAGGACAGCAGAGAAGAGGGAAUACAUGCUCCCAGACAGGAUGGGCAAGGAGUCCUAAGCUCUAGGACCUAUGCCAGUGCCUGGAACAGAGUAGGCAUCCAGAAAUGAACAUCGAUCCCCCAGGCAGAUCAUACCUGUAGAAAGGUA